rnacentral:rRNA from 1 species
UACAGAGGGUGCGAGCGUUGUUCGGAAUUACUGGGCGUAAAGCGCGCGCAGGCGGCCCUUUAAGUCCGUCGGUCAAAUGCCGGGGCUCAACCCCGGGCGUGCCGAGGAUACUGGAGGGCUGGAGACACGUAGAGGCAAGCGGAAUUCCGGGUGCAGCGGUGGAAUGCGUAGAGAUCCGGAAGAACACCGGAGGCGAAGGCGGCUUGCUGGGCGUGAUCUGACGCUGAGGCGCGAAAGCGUGGGGAGCGAACAGG